AUGAAGCUCGCGCCCACCAUUGUCCCUACGCCCCCCAUGAUGUCCAGGAGCUCCGCCGUGGACGCCUACUUCAUCGCUAUCAAGUGGAUCGAGUCGGGAUGCCGCAUCGCCGCUGUCUUCGCCAUUCUUCCUCGAUUGCAUCCACCGUCGCCGAUGCUCGAUCAGCCACCUACCGUCGAGCACCGCUGCAUCUGGGAUCACCACAAGCUCCGGGACCCUGAGACCGACGCUGACGCCACUGAGUACGACCACGCUGCAGACGUUCAACCACUUGCAGCAGAGCUUCCAGAUGCAUCUGGCCUACAAAUCGGUCGGACAUGUUUGGGUCUCCCUAAAAAUGAUGCCUAA
rnacentral:rRNA from 1 species